CAGAGGAUUAGAUUGGGGAGCUACCGGUUCUCUGUAAGCGCAAAUCCGGUUUAUGGCGCGAUCGAAGCUUGAGGGCGAUGUUAAAGAUUUAUGAAGCCCUGUUGACUGACUGAGAAGCUUCGUCCUCUGGAACUGGAAUUAUGGUGAACCGGCUGAGGCGGGGAACCGAGCAAGCCUAAGUCGUAGUUUUGGUGUUCAGGGGGUCGCGAAGUGGAGAAGGUUAAUAGGAUAAACUUCGUAAAUUUUUAGCAACCACCAAGAGCGUAUCCUCUG
rnacentral:SRP_RNA from 1 species